rnacentral:rRNA from 1 species
GACAGAGGGUGCAAACGUUGCUCGGAAUUACUGGGCGUAAAGCGCGUGUAGGUGGACUGGUGUGUCAGAUGUGAAAUCCCUGGGCUCAACCCAGGAACUGCACCUGAAACUACCAGCCUUGAGUGGUGGAGAGGGAAGUGGAAUUCCUGGUGUAGAGGUGAAAUUCGUAGAUAUCAGGAGGAACACCAGUGGCGAAGGCGGCUUCCUGGACACCAACUGACGCUGAGACGCGAAAGCGUGGGGAGCGAACAGG